rnacentral:lncRNA from 1 species
CUUGAACAGUUAACUACAUAAAAAAUAUAUCAUUUCCCUAGUUAUGAACUGAAAUGGUUAUACCACAUAGAUUGAUGACAAUGGCAGCUCAGAAAAGUUGUACUUCAAAAUUUCACUAUUUUCUUGUGUAGAUUUCAAUAAGUCAAUGGAGCAUUUUUGAGACAUGCAAUUGUAGGCCAAGCCUGGGGAUGGCAGAGCUAGAGAAGCUCAAACAACUAAGAAAGAAGAGAUGAACCACAUUCUGGAUGAUGCUGAAAUUACCAUUUAUUAUGUUCAACCUCUGUCUGGAAGCCGACUACCUAGAAGAGACCAAAGGUUCCAUGAUGGAUAAGAAUUUUAUCUUUUCAGAGGUCUGAAAUCUACAGAUUACAGUCAGUAAUUGUCACAUCUGAUCCAAUUUCUUACCAUAACCAUACAAGACUGCUUCAAGGAACUGAAGUAGUAU